rnacentral:rRNA from 1 species
AGGAAUAUUGGUCAAUGGACGCAAGUCUGAACCAGCCAUGCCGCGUGAAGGAUGAAGGUCCUCUGGAUUGUAAACUUCUUUUAUCUGGGACGAAAACGGGAUUUUUAUCUCAAUUGACGGUACCAGAGGAAUAAGCACCGGCUAACUCCGUGCCAGCAGCCGCGGUAAUACGGAGGGUGCGAGCGUUAUCCGGAUUUACUGGGUUUAAAGGGUGCGUAGGUGGGCUUAUAAGUCAGUGGUGAAAUCUCCGAGCUUAACUUGGAAACUGCCGUUGAUACUAUAGGUCUUGAAUUAUCUGGAGGUGAGCGGAAUAUGUCAUGUAGCGGUGAAAUGCUUAGAUAUGACAUAGAACACCAAUUGCGAAGGCAGCUUACUACAUAUAAAUUGACGCUGAGGCACGAAAGCGUGGGGAUCAAACA